rnacentral:snoRNA from 1 species
AACCCAUGAUGAUGACACUUUCUCAACAGAUCCUUAUAUCUCUCCCAUGUAUCAUAUAAUGUCUCCAAAUAAAUUUGAGCAAAAGAAGAGAUGUCGUUCCUCACCUU